rnacentral:rRNA from 1 species
UACAGAGGAGCCAAGCGUUGUCCGGAUUGACUGGGCGUAAAGCGCACGUAGGCGGUUUGUUAUGUCGGAUGUGAAAGCCCUUGGCUCAACUGAGGAAGUGCAUCCGAAACUGGCAAGCUAGAGUAUGUAAGAGGGUCGCGGAAUUCCCGGUGUAGAGGUGAAAUUCGUAGAUAUCGGGAGGAACACCGGUGGCGAAGGCGGCGACCUGGGACAAUACUGACGCUGAGGUGCGAAAGCGUGGGGAGCAAACAGG